GCGGAGGAAAAGAAACCAACAGGGAUUGCCUCAGUAACGGCGAGUGAAGCGGCAACAGCUCAAAUUUGAAAUCUGGCCCCCUCGGGGUCCGAGUUGUAAUUUGUAGAAGAUGCUUCGGGUGUGGCCCCGGUCUAAGUUCCUUGGAACAGGACGUCACAGAGGGUGAGAAUCCCGUAUGUGACCGGUGGCCUCCCCCGUGUGAAGCUCUUUCGACGAGUCGAGUUGUUUGGGAAUGCAGCUCAAAAUGGGUGGUAAAUUUCAUCUAAAGCUAAAUAUUGGCCAGAGACCGAUAGCGCACAAGUAGAGUGAUCGAAAGAUGAAAAGCACUUUGGAAAGAGGGUUAAACAGUACGUGAAAUUGUUGAAAGGGAAGCGCUUGCAACCAGACUUGCGCGCGGUCGAUCAUCCGGGGUUCUCCCCGGUGCACUCGGCCGUGCGCAGGCCAGCAUCGGUUUGGGCGGCCGGACAAAGGCCUCGGGAAUGUGGCUCCUUCGGGAGUGUUAUAGCCCGAGGUGCAAUGCGGCCAGCCCGGACCGAGGACCGCGCUUCGGCUAGGAUGCUGGCGUAAUGGUUGUAAGCGGCCCGUCUUGAAACACGGACCAAGGAGUCUAACAUCUAUGCGAGUGUUUGGGUGGCAAACCCAUCCGCGUAAUGAAAGUGAACGGAGGUGAGAACCCUUAAGGGCGCAUCAUCGACCGAUCCUGAUGUCUUCGGAUGGAUUUGAGUAAGAGCAUAGCUGUUGGGACCCGAAAGAUGGUGAACUAUGCCUGAAUAGGGUGAAGCCAGAGGAAACUCUGGUGGAGGCUCGCAGCGGUUCUGACGUGCAAAUCGAUCGUCA
rnacentral:misc_RNA from 1 species